CCCCCAUCAACACAAUACAACCCAACCCCUACCCCAAACAUAACUCGGUCACGAAACGCAACACUGACCUACUUCCGGCGGAGAUCCCGCCUGCGCAGCAAGCGUGGGGAGCGGAGGUGGGAGAGGGGAAUGCCCCGCGUCACGUCCCAACAUCUCUACCUCAUGAGAGACGCUUCCAACCCACCACCAUGACAAUAAAAAUAUCCUCACUCAAUGUGAAGGGCCUCAUUGCCCCACGUAAGAGGCGCACGCUCUUCAGAGAACUGAAGAGACUAAAUCCGGACAUCGCGUUCCUGCAGGAGACGCACUUACCCAGGUCCGCCCAGGUCUCCCUCCGCGAUCAUACCUACCGGGUAGCCACUGAGGCACGAGCCUUC